UGUUUGGCGUUGAUUUAAAUGACAGUUAACGAAAUUCACUAAUUUUUAUUUUUAAAAUUCUUUGUUUUUGAAUGUGAAAAUUCUAUUAAAUAAAUAUUAGGCAUUAUUGACACUAAGAUGGACAACUAAUGCUGACUAAUGCUUUAAUGCAUUGCAGUAUUUAAUUUAAUUGUAAAUGUAAAGCAUGAUGCACUGCGCGUCGCACUUUCAAACACAUACAAAUGCUGCUUAAUCUUAUCUAUUUAAACGCUUGCGUUUUAUCACACCUGCAAAUGCAAUAAAAGUUAGGCGAUCUUCAAGCGGUCAAACUUAGGGAAAUUGUUUUAGAAAUAUGUAAGUCUGAUUUACGUAACGGGUUUGUGACAGCUUACUACCCAGCCAAGGUCGAAUGUUACAGUACAAUAUAAAUAGAACAGGAAACAUCAAACAAAUAUACAUAUUUUUUUUUUUUAAAUGCAUGCAUUAACUUUAGUUCUUAUUCAUUUAAGGCAGCUUUAAUAUUUUUAUUAUAAAAUUUAAUGAAUUUAAUUCUAGUAAGGUAGUAAUAUUUUA